AUGAUAGGUUAUGUGAUUACCCUAGGUUUGGCUCCACUUACUCUUUAUUAAGCACAUCUGGUAUUUAGUAACAGUGUAAGUAGCAGGAGUUUUUCUGGCGCACAAAUAAGAUUAUCCAACGUUGCCAUGCAGCAUGGAAACUCCUCAGGGAAGCCAGCGAGCUGUGCGGAGAUACAAGACUUUCUUGUCGGCCGGGCAGCCGGCCAGAAUAGCUAAAAAAUGUGGAUUGGCACGGAGCUGUUGCCACGCAAACACUUCUGGAAAUUUCUGUGUUGGGGCCUGCCAAAUCCUUUAUAUGUAACAUGAGUUUCUGUCUUCCUCAGCAGCCCAUCCUGAGCCUGAGCUCUCCUGUGCACUUUAAAAAGGAAAAAGAACAACCCAGCGCAAUCCUCCGGUCCUGUUUCCAGAGCGCCACUGCCAAGCUAACAAUUUCACUGAAUUAGGGGGAAUUUCCUCAAACAUUUGCUCGAGCUACAUUAAGUGUAACAUGUGGGAGACAACUGUGUUUCCUGGAGAAGAAAGGAAAGCUGUCUCACUCGGUGGAGACUGCCUAACGUCUAGCAGGAGAAAAACAACCAGCCAUGACAAGAAAAUGUUUUUUAAAACUUGGCACAGGAACAGGGUUUUAUUUAUUUUGAACGCCUUUUCCAGUCUGGCCAACAUAGCGUGUGGAGGGAGGGAAGCCGGUGUUUCAGCUAGGGCCCGCGGCGCGGAGUCAGGAGGUCUGGGCUCUAUUUCUGGCUCUGCCGGCCUUCCUGUGAGGCUCAGGUGAAGCCCUCGGAGAGAGCAUUCAGCAUGGAAGCUGGCCAUGAGCAGAGGGGUUUUAGCACAGCAACUUAAAAGCACACUGUGCACAAUUUUGGCACGGCCAGUGAUCAGCACCAGCACUUGGUCUCUGUGUGGCUCUCCUGUUGGUGGGUCAGCUCUCAGCACGGUGGGGAAGUCCCUGGGUGAAGCCCAUGAAAAGAGUACAAAAACAGCCCACCAGGCACUGGCUGGUGGCUCAGCUGUCCUCAGCGGUGAACUUCUGAUGCAACUUCCAGCCACAGGAAAGAGCAUCUCAUCCAAAGGGCUGACUCGCCUCCAAGCUGCAUACCAGCAUAACUGGAAGAGGGGAUCUGGCUCUACUGCUGCAUGCCUGCGACCAGAGCAACCAUUCCCUCCUCCAGGAUGGGCAAGGGCAGGGGCAACCAGCAGCACAUCGUCUGUGUGGCACCGACAGCGCUCUUUGGGAAAGCAGGAGAGGAUUAACAACAGUGACAUAACAGCCAUAGCUGUCUAAAGGAGAAACUGAUAAACUGGGGGUUUUCCUGUCUGCUGACCCACCCUUUGAUAAGCACAACUAAUAACCUCCCCGUGAGUUAGCAGAGAUUCUUUUCAGUCUUGUCUCUUGUCUGUAAGCAUCCCUCCCAUGGCUGUGGCUCCUGUGGCUGUAGUGACAUCCGUAGCUGUGAGGGAUAUCUUGCCAGGUCACUAAUGAGUAAGGACAGAGAAGGUUUGCAGAACAGUGAGGUGAAAGGGGAUGAGAAUAAUCCACAGUGUGCGUAAGGGAAGGAUUGCAAAAAUCAGGAGGAGGAAGAUGCAAGACUUGGAGGGAGAGAAGUGAAUUUCCUCAGGGAGGCAAAGACUAAAGAAAAGAAAACACCAGGCAGGGAGAACUGGGUUGGAGAGAAGAGCAAGAGAGAACUGAGAAGCUGGAGCAAAGAAAUUGAGGAGGAUGGCGGCCAGGAAUGAAUGGGAAUGGCCGAGGAGAAAAGAGAGAAGUAGGUAAAACCACCGUGAAUAUAAAAGAAGUGUGAUAAUGAGCAGGAGAAGAUAAGUCUUUUAAGAAGAGGGAAUGUGAACCAAGAGAGGAAAGAAUGAUAUGAAGAUUAAAAAAAAAAAAAAGAAAAAAGAAAAAAAAGAGAGGUGGAAAGAGGACAAAUAAGAGAGAGACAUGGGAGAAAGCAGGUGAAACAAAGAGACUAAUGCUUCUCUUAAGCUAAUGAAGUUUCUUCUUUAUGGUUCAAUAUUGUGUUGCAAUGUCCCAAGAGGCAUUUUGUUUCUGUGGCUCUUUUGACCACUUCUGGCUGAUUAUUCCGGGUUCCAAGACAAAGUAGUUAUAAGAAAAGGAAGAGAAAAUAGCCUAAAAAUCACCAGAAUGUGUCACAAGGCUUUGUCUGAAGGACUGCUCCCUUCAGAGAGAAUUGUUUCUAGAAAAUAGCUCAGAUGCUGACACCCCCCGUGUGCAUGUGGCUGGCCUCGAUGUUGCCCGGGCAGGCUUUUGGGGCUCCAAGAUUUCUGAGCCCUCCCACCCACUUCGCUUUAAAUGACUCUGUUCUGCUUGGGAGGGAUGAUGAGGAAGGGAGGAUCCCAGCAGAGUCCUCUUGCCAGAAUGCCUCAGAAUCCCAAAGCUGGCUCUGAUCCUGCAAGACUUGACCAAUAUUUGUUGAAAGUGGAGCAACUCACAGCUCAGGGUGGCUUGGCUCCACACACCGCUCAAUGGGAAGUCAGAAAAGCAGGAGUGGGCAGUGAUUUCUGUUCUCAUCUGACCCUUCUUUUCUUUCCAUGCUUUGCUUAUAUUAAUUUGGUGUCUUUCAUUUACUUACUGAAGUGAGACAUAAACAUUUUAAAUUCAGGAGUUAGAUGGGCCUGGCAAUCGCUGCAUCACUAAGAAACCUGAAGCCCUGGAGUAAACAUCAAAAGAGAGCCUUUUCUCUGGAAUUAUAUAAUCCCCGCGAUGCAUAUGGGAAUUGAAUAAUUUCUUACAGUGAAGGGGCAGGGCAGUUUGGUUAAUAUAAGCGAGGCAUGUAACUGCACUGCACGUCUUAAACGGCGGUUCCAUGGAACAGCAAAUCUGGCAUAAAGUGCCCCGUGCUGGACCAGAACAUCGCAGCUACGCGCUGCCAAGCACUGAGCUAGCAGAAACUUACAGCACUGGUUCAAAUAUGUUUGACAAAUUCUGGCAGACAUCAUACCGAAUCAGGUAACGGCUGUCCUCCAGUCAGCACAAAACUGGCAUAAAUACCACAUUGUGUGCUCUGGCUAAUUCAACAGAAACAUAAUUGUGUGCUUAGGCCAGAUCUGGAUCCAGUACGCACAAGGAGGGGCUCCUGCAGUGCCAAAAUCUCCUAUUAAUGAAGUUGGAAGCAGAGCCAUAUGCAUUAGCUGCAUGCUCUGAAUUCUUAGGAGUGGCAGCAGUUCAUGGCAGGGGGCUUUUUCAGAACAAUCAUAAAAGGCCAUAUUUUUUUUUCCUGGGGUGACAAAAUCAUUUCCUUUGUUUCCAAUAAUCUUAGCAUUUGCAAAUAGUGGACCAGUCCUUUUGUUUGCUGCACUCGUUUAUUGCAGUUUGUACUCCCAGCACAGCCAGCAUUAGAAUGACCAGUUCCUCUGCUCUCCAUCACUGUCAUGUUGUCAGACACAGUUAUGCUGCUCUGUUUAAAGAUGCUGAUCAAGCACCAUGUUGACUGGAUUGCUGUGAAAGUAGUUUGCCAUACAUGAAUUGUCACUUAAAAUCAAAGAUUUUUCUCAUUAAAGAUAGAAGGAAGAAACUUGGUGGAUCAAAACACUCCCCUAGUUUUGUCUUAAUGUACAUAUCCCAGUGAUGAGCCAGAAUGGCCCUUGGUAUUUUCUUGUUAAAGUUUCAUGACCAAAUUGAAGAAAAGCUUGGAAUGAUUUCUCUACCUCUGGGGAAAAUCAUAGACUCUCAACAUUAUGCUUAACCAUCCCUGCUAGAGAUGAUUUAUUCCUGGAGCUCAUAAAGCAUUCUUGAAAGAGUAAAAUUUUUGCCUUGUGACUGCAGCAUAUUGCAGCAAGUGUCGGGCACUUUCAAAACAAUUUCCUGAGAGGAUGUGAAAGGUAGAUUGAGAUCCAAGGGGACACAUUUUUCUCCUUUCCCUCAUGCUCCCAACUCUCCUUCCCUGUUGUGUAGGAAAUGCAGUGCAGAACAGAAAUCUCAGUAGACUUAGAGGAAUACUUUUCUUCAUUUUAAAAAGGAAAGCAAGUCUCAAAAAUUGAAGCUAAACCCAAGUAACUGUAAUACCACUUGGCACUUACAUGCAGGUUUUCAUCUUCUAGCCACUUUACAUUAAGUAAUGAAUCCUCAGGACUCCCCUGUGGAGUAGGUGGCUGAGUAUUAUUAGCCCCCUUCUGCAAAUGGAAAACUGAGGUGGAGAUGUUAAGUACCUUGCCUAAAGCCACCGAGGGAUUCUGUUGUAGAGACAGGAUCAGAGGUUAGGCGUUUUUGUGCUUUCAAUUCCCAUAUCUAUUGUGUCACUUAAGUACAGAGCCAUAAUUGAAUAUCAUAAUGACCCAGGGGUGGAGCAAUUCCAGCUGGUCAGAUCUGUGCACGGCUCCUCUGAUGGCCAGAGACUCAGCCGUACAUUUGCAUGGAGCAGAAUGGAGCAAGCAGACCUAGCAUGCAGCAUGAAGAAGUGUCAUUUUCUUUGGCUUCCCCAAGCAUGCCAUUGAGUAAUGAGCUAACUCUGCAUCAAGCUUAAUUUAAUCAUUUACCUUAACUCUAAUCAAGCUUAAUACCUUGGCUUAAUUUCAAGGUACAAGGCUAAAUAUUUUCCUCACUGGGUGUUUUCACAGUAAGAAAUACACCUUUAGAUAGAGAUGCCACUGGUAAGACCGAGACUAGUGUGCCUUUACUUUUGCAUGGAGCAAAAGUUGUUGUAGUGGAGCAUACAACUCCCCUUCUGGCUAAUUCACUCUUGAGCAGGAGAGUGUGAGACCAAACUCAGCCCCAGUGCUCUGGGCUAAAGCAGAUUCUUCACUAGCUUUACAGAUAGGAUUUGUGUGCUUUGUGGUCCUCACGUUACACAUUCAGAGGAGCCUGGGUGUCCAUCCAGCAGAGCAUGUGGGCAGAAAAAAAAAAAGAGCACAACGUGAAAAUCAGAGAGGUAAACUAUUACCAAUUGACACACAGUUGCUAUUAUGAAUAAAAGGAAAUGCAUUCCCGUAAACUCACAAAAGAGUGCUCCCAUUUAAGUGUUCUUCAGAGAAAGAAAGGCUUGUUUUUCCUUUGCUAAAUGCCUAUUUCCAUGAGCUGCAUUUCCUGCAUCUUGUUGAACUGUGUUGCUGUCACAUCAAGAUGUCAUCCGACAUUAAAGCAUAAGAGCAGGCUUGUAUCUCUCACAAGCUGCCAAUGUAUAUUUAUGUGGCACAGGAUGAUACAUCCAAAAGGGGAGGUCUGUAUAAUGCUUUUGGUUGCUGAUGUUUUCUUUCCGACCCUUGCAUUAAUAUGGAACCAGCACAAACGCAUUCAACUACUCACCGACUGCAGCUCUGCACGUAGCACACAUAUUAUUCCAGUUGGGAAGAGGAGUUUAUUUUGCACCUGAUGGGGCCUUCAUUUUGGAACGGAAUCAGAGGGUUUGGAACUAGAGACCAAUCCACACCCCAGGCUUAUUUUGUUUAUGCGCAGGAAAAAUGUGGAAAUCCCCAGCUGCUGCAUGAAGUGGUCUGGGUACAGAUGAUUCUUACAUCGACAACACAGGACUAUGUUUGCUCGGGGAAUGCGGAGCUGACAUCUCACUCCUGUGAAUUUUGUCUAAAGAUUUUGCCCUGAAAACCACCUAGUUUUACAAAUUGGUCACUAGAGAUGAUGAAAAUCGGCCACGCAUGAACAUUUAAAAAAAAAGACAAUAUGAUGAUCUUUUUGGAGUUCUUUGAGUAACUCCAGGAGCAGGCCAGUGAAGUGGGAUGAUUUGAGUAAAAAAGAUUAUGUGAUAACACAAUCUGAGUCACAUUAAUUGGAUUGUCAGAGGUUACUGGACCACACCAGGAGGGCAAUGAACCUUGUAUGGCACUGACACUAACUGGUAUUUAUCUUUUACUUUAAAAUUUAAUAAUACAACUCCACCUAGACCAGAGUAUUAACCUGUCUGGAGUCUUCUUGCUUGGGCUAUGUGUUGUCUGGACAGAAGACUUUACCACUCAACUGUGCUAGGCCCUGAGGAAUCCAGCCGAGCUGCAUGCAGCUCUGGAAUAGGCCCUUUUGGCCAGGGUCUUAAUGCAUGAUCCUCUGGUGAUCACCUCGCUUGAUCAGAGCACAGAUCAUUUAGUGCAAAGGAGGUUCCCUGCAUUGUAUUGACGGUGAUCGUAUUUUUGUUAAACAUGAAUGUUUCCAACUGUGCAAAGUGUUUAUAAAGCACACAACACAUGUCUGACUGAGUAAAAUAUGUUUUUAAUAUAAUGUAGUAUAAGCAUGUGGAAAAAAUAAUGGAGACUGCUCUCCAUUCAGAAUUCAAGCACAACAAACUGUAAUUACAUCAGCAUUUUUAGAAUGUGUUUGUUCUUAAGCAUUUCAUUAAAUAUUAAGGAAAUAUAAACACAUAUGUUAAAAAUUG